AAUAAGUGAAAUAUUUGUUUAAUAACAAUAAUUAACAUAACAGCUUGACCAGGUCCAAACCUAUAACAAACAAAAUAACAGCUUCACCAAAUACGUAGUUUAUUGCACAAUACAUACAACAACGCGUAAUUAUUUUUCUUCAUAAAUGUAUUCCAUAAUCCUAAAAAUAUUCGAUUCAUAGAAGAUAGACAAAUUAUGAGCGCGGAAACUUGACUAGCAUCAAAAAGUUAAAACGCGGAAAGAUCCACGGUGGGCUUGAC
rnacentral:lncRNA from 1 species